rnacentral:rRNA from 1 species
ACCCCAGACUCCUACGGGAGGCAGCAGUGAGGAAUAUUGGUCAAUGGCCGAGAGGCUGAACCAGCCAAGUCGCGUGAGGGAUGACGGCCCUACGGGUUGUAAACCUCUUUUGUCGGGGAGCAAAAGACGCCACGUGUGGCGUUCCGAGAGUACCCGAAGAAAAAGCAUCGGUUAACUCCGUGCCAGCAGCCGCGGUAAUACGGAGGAUGCGAGCGUUAUCCGGAUUUAUUGGGUUUAAAGGGUGCGCAGGCGGAAGAUCAAGUCAGGGGUAAAAUUGAGAGGCUCAACCUCUGCGAGCCGUUGAAACUGGUUUUCUUGAGUGAGCGAGAAGUAUGCGGAAUGCGUGGUGUAGCGGUGAAAUGCAUAGAUAUCACGCAGAACUCCGAUUGCGAAGGCAGCAUACCGGCGCUCAACUGACGCUCAUGCACGAAAGCGUGGGUAUCGAACAGGAUUAGAUACCCCGGUAU